rnacentral:rRNA from 1 species
GAUCCUGGCUCAGGAUGAACGCUAGCUACAGGCUUAACACAUGCAAGUCGAGGGGAAACGACAUCGAAAGCUUGCUUUUGAUGGGCGUCGACCGGCGCACGGGUGAGUAACGCGUAUCCAACCUGCCCAUCACUUGGGAAUAACCUUGCGAAAGUAAGACUAAUGCCCAAUGAUAUCCCACGAAGGCAUCUGAAAGAGAUUAAAGAUUUAUCGGUGAUGGAUGGGGAUGCGU